AUAAAAGUAUAUAAUGCGCAUACUUUCUAAACAUUUAUAUAUAGCAAUUUCAAUUAAUUGUAUGGAUUACAAAGUACCCUACCCUAAUCGUAUAUACGAGCACGCGCUUAAAUGGAUACGUGCUUGCAUGCACAUAAAAGUAGAAAGUAUUUGAAGGAAAAUCAACGAAUAUAUGCAUGUAUUUAUAUUGUGUGGAAGAAGUAAAAGUUGGGUGAAGAAAAAA
rnacentral:lncRNA from 1 species